rnacentral:rRNA from 1 species
CGCGUAGGGUGCGAGCGUUGUCCGGAAUUAUUGGGCGUAAAGAGCUCGUAGGCGGUGUGUCGCGUCGGCCGUGAAAACCUGCAGCUUAACUGUGGGCUUGCGGUCGAUACGGGCAUCACUGGAGUUCGGCAGGGGAGACUGGAAUUCCUGGUGUAGCGGUGAAAUGCGCAGAUAUCAGGAGGAACACCGGUGGCGAAGGCGGGUCUCUGGGCCGAUACUGACGCUGAGGAGCGAAAGCGUGGGGAGCAAACAGG